rnacentral:rRNA from 1 species
ACUCAAAGGAAUAGACGGGGGCCCGCACAAGCGGUGGAGCAUGUGGUUUAAUUCGACGCAACGCGCAGAACCUUACCAGCCCUUGACAUCCCGGUCGCGGAUUCCAGAGAUGGAGUCCUUCAGUUCGGCUGGACCGGAGACAGGUGCUGCAUGGCUGUCGUCAGCUCGUGUCGUGAGAUGUUGGGUUAAGUCCCGCAACGAGCGCAACCCCCGUCCUUAGUUGCUACCAUUUGGUUGAGCACUCUAAGGAGACUGCCGGUGAUAAGCCGCGAGGAAGGUGGGGAUGACGUCAAGUCCUCAUGGCCCUUACGGGCUGGGCUACACACGUGCUACAAUGGCGGUGACAGUGGGAUGCGAAGGCGCAAGCCCUAGCAAAUCUCCAAAAGCCGUCUCAGUUCGGAUUGGGCUCUGCAACUCGAGCCCAUGAAGUUGGAAUCGCUAGUAAUCGUGGAUCAGCACGCCACGGUGAAUACGUUCCCGGGCCUUGUACACACCGCCCGU